UCCUUUAGACGUGACUGGAAUGACCUGGAAAGGUCAGCCACAGCGGGUGACAGCCCCCGUACAGGAAGCUUCUAGAGGACAUAUCAAGUAGGGCGGGACACGUGAAAUCCUGUCUGAAGAUCGGGGGACCACCCCCGAAGGCUAAGUACUCCUUACUGACCGAUAGCGAACCAGUACCGUGAGGGAAAGGUGAAAAGCACCCCGACGAGGGGAGUGAAACAGUUUCUGAAACCGGACGCCUACAAGCAGUCGGAGGGGCCUUGUGCCCUGACGGCGUACCUUUUGUAUAAUGGGUCAACGACUUGGUCUAACGAGCAAGCUUAAGCCGAUAGGUGUAGGCGCAGCGAAAGCGAGUCUUAAAAGGGCGAAUGAGUUCGUUGGAUCAGACCCGAAACCAAGUGAUCUAGCCAUGUAGCAGGAUGAAGGUUGGGUAACACCAACUGGAGGUCCGAACCCACACCUGUUGAAAAAGGUCGGGAUGACGUGUGGCUA
rnacentral:rRNA from 1 species